UACGUAGGUGGCCAGCGUUGUCCGGAUUUCCUGGGCGUAAAGAGCGCGCAGGCGGUCGAUCAAGUCGCGUGUGAAAGCCCCCGGCUCAACUGGGGAGGGUCACGCGAUACUGAUCGACUCGAAGGCAGGAGAGGGUAGUGGAAUUCCCGGUGUAGUGGUGAAAUGCGUAGAUAUCGGGAGGAACACCAGUGGCGAAGGCGACUACCUGGCCUGUUCUUGACGCUGAGGCGCGAAAGCUAGGGGAGCAAACGGG
rnacentral:rRNA from 1 species